CAACUUUCUACAACGGAUCUCUUGGUUCUGGCAUCGAUGAAGAACGCUAGCACAUAUGCGAUAAGUAAUGUGAAUUGUCAGAAUUCAGUGAAUCAUCGAAUCUUUGUAGACGCACAUUGCGCCCGCUUGGUAUUCCGGCGGGCAUGCCUGUUCGAGCGUCAUUU
rnacentral:rRNA from 1 species